GGCCCUGUGGCGGAACUGGCAGACGCGGUGGAUUUAAAAUCUACUGCCCGGGAGGGCGUUCCGGUUCGAUUCCGGACGGGGCUACCU
rnacentral:tRNA from 1 species